CACGUAGGGGGCAAGCGUUGUCCGGAUUUAUUGGGCGUAAAGAGCUCGUAGGCGGCUUAGUAAGUCGGGUGUGAAACCUCCAGGCUCAACCUGGAGACGCCACCCGAUACUGCUGUGGCUAGAGUCCGGUAGGGGAGCGUGGAAUUCCUGGUGUAGCGGUGAAAUGCGCAGAUAUCAGGAGGAACACCGGUGGCGAAGGCGGGUCUCUGGGCCGUAACUGACGCUGAGGAGCGAAAGCGUGGGGAGCAAACAGG
rnacentral:rRNA from 1 species